rnacentral:misc_RNA from 1 species
GAGAGAUGUGUAUGCUUGUCAGCAUUGCUAUGACUGCUUUGCCUGAGUGCUCAGGACAGGGUGUUUCAAAUAUUGCUUGGGCACUGUCAAAAAUUGGUGGUGAGCUUCUCUAUUUGACAGAAAUGGACAGAGUGGCAGAAGUAGCGUCAGCUAUGGUUGAGGAGUUCAAUUCACAAAAUGUUGCCAAUAUAGCCGGAGCCUUUGCGUCAAUGCAGCACUCUGCUCCAGAACUGUUUUCGGGGUUAGCAAGAAGGGCCUCGGAC